rnacentral:pre_miRNA from 1 species
UUCACUCAAAUUUGUAUGGAUUUGUGAUAGCUUCCCUUCGUUUGCCGCUAGGGGCGCUGUUCCAACUCCAUACAAAUUUGAGUUA